rnacentral:rRNA from 1 species
AUUGAACGCUGGCGGAAUGCUUUACACAUGCAAGUCGAACGGUAGAGGGGGCAACCCCUUGAGAGUGGCGAACGGGUGAGUAAUAUAUCGGAACGUGCCCAGUCGUGGGGAUAACGUAGCGAAAGUUACGCUAAUACCGCAUACGAUCUAAGGAUGAAAGCGGGGGACUCGCAAGAGCCUCGCGCGAUUGGAGCGGCCGAUAUCAGAUUAGGUAGUUGGUGGGGUAAAGGCUCACCAAGCCGACGAUCUGUAGCUGGUCUGAGAGGACGACCAGCCACACUGGGACUGAGACACGGCCCAGACUCCUACGGAGGCAGCAGUGGGGAAUUUUGGACAAUGGGCGCAAGCCUGAUCCAGCAAUGCCGCGUGCAGGAUGAA